rnacentral:rRNA from 1 species
GACGAACGCUGGCGGCGUGCUUAACACAUGCAAGUCGAACGGAAAGGCCUCUUUCUGGGGGUACUCGAGUGGCGAACGGGUGAGUAACACGUGAGUAACCUGCCCUUGACUUUGGGAUAACUUCAGGAAACUGGGGCUAAUACCGGAUAGGAGCUCCUGCUGCAUGGUGGGGGUUGGAAAGUUUCGGCGGUUGGGGAUGGACUCGCGGCUUAUCAGCUUGUUGGUGGGGUAGUGGCUUACCAAGGCUUUGACGGGUAGCCGGCCUGAGAGGGUGACCGGCCACAUUGGGACUGAGAUACGGCCCAGACACCUAAGGGAGGCAGGAGUGGGGAAUAUUGCACAAUGGGUGGAAGCCUGAUGCAGCAACGCCGUGUGCGGGAUGACGGCCUUCGGGUUGUAAACCGCUUUCGCUCAUGACGAAGCUUUGUGUGACGGUAGUGGGUAAAGAAGCACCGGCUAACUACGUG